CACGGGGGGAGCAAGCGUUGUUCGGAAUCACUGGGCGUAAAGGGCGUGUAGGCGGUCAAGUAAGUGGAAUGUGAAAGCCCCCGGCUUACCCGGGGAUCUGCAUCCCAAACUGCUUGGCUUGAGUACGGGAGAGGAUGGAGGAAUUCCUGGUGUAGCGGUGAAAUGCGUAGAUAUCAGGAGGAACACCGGUGGCGAAGGCGGCUCACUGGCCCGAUACUGACGCUGAGGCACGAAAGCGUGGGGAGCAAACAGG
rnacentral:rRNA from 1 species